rnacentral:antisense_RNA from 1 species
GUAGGCGUUUAAGGUACGCUGGCAAAGUGCCGAGCGAACACAAUCCUGUUUACCAAAACGAACGACACCCACCAUGUCAUCUUCUGCAAAACGUGCCAGCGCAUCGCUUAAACCUGACUGCACUCCCCGCGGUAAAUCACACUGGGUAAUGUCGCCGUUGACGAUGACCGUAACGUUUUCCCCGAGGCGUG